rnacentral:lncRNA from 1 species
AUUUUACUCAUUUUUAUGUGGUGCUGAGGUACAAACCCAGGGCCUCACACAUGCUAGGUGAAUGCUCUACCAGUGAGCCACAACCCUGGCCCCUGGGAAGGUAUUUUUGGUUGGACGUAUUGCCAAACUGAAUGAAACUGGGGUUCUAUUGUUGGUGUAGAAUAUCAAGAGGAGCAGAGAAUGGAUAUUUGCUAAGCCACCAGCAAUGUCUACUGCAGGACUAUGGUGGGGAGGUGGGAGGAAGAGCUAGGGAAGGAGCAAGGCCACCAAUACCUCAGCAGUGCAAAAGCUGGGGUGUCAGGUCAAGAGUUUGUAAACAGUGCUCAAACUAUUUUUACCUCUUUCUAAAUGGGGCUUUCUUGAUUCAGCAAAUACCCAAAAUGUUUCCUGCUCCUCUCAUUUGUACCCUCACUUGAAUCUCCUUUACAGAUGCCCAACUCAUGAGACCAUACCAUUUUCCUUUAUUUGUACACAAUUCUCUCUGGCUGUUUAGGGGGGAAAGAAAGAGAGGGAUAAUUAAAAAAUACCUAAUUACUCCAGAUUGCAUUAGUUCUACUUUGGUGUCCCAGCAGGGAAUUCUAUCCUGGAAAACUCAUGAAUGCCUGACCUGGAGAAUAGUAGUGAAAAAAAUGUCGCAGGAGACCAGCGGUUUGAAUUAUUGAUCAGAAAGGGGUUUUCCAGGCUCCUCUGGCUUAAUUACACACUCUGAGAGGCGAAGCAGAUGGAGGGAGAGACAGACAAUUCUGUGGAUUUACAGUGGCUGAGAGAUUGGGGACGGCUGUAUUGCAUCCUCCUUUUCAUGAAGCUGGAACUAUGCAGCUCAGGGACAGUGGUUCCCCCCAAAAGGGAGCUUGGUGGAGGAAUUCAAUGAAUGGAUAAUCAGAAUCCCUGCUGGUUCUUUGACAAGGAGAUGUCUAGGAUUCUAGGAAUAAAUACCAAGCUCCCUCCAUCCCCUUGAGUGAGCAGGGAGGGUGGGUGCAGGGCAGUGGGGGUGGUGAGGUAC